AAUAAGAUGCCUGAUUAAAGGAUUAUCUUGAUAGGAUAAAUCAUGUAUACUAUACUCUUAUUG
rnacentral:tRNA from 1 species